rnacentral:rRNA from 1 species
UCCGGGUUGUAAAGCACUUUCAGUCGUGAGGAAGGUAGUGUAGUUAAUAGCUGCAUUAUUUGACGUUAGCGACAGAAGAAGCACCGGCUAACUCCGUGCCAGCAGCCGCGGUAAUACGGAGGGUGCGAGCGUUAAUCGGAAUUACUGGGCGUAAAGCGCAUGCAGGUGGUUUGUUUAAGUUCAGAUGUGAAAGACCCGGGGCGUCAACCUCGGAAUAGCAUUUGAAACUAGGCAGACUAGAGUACUGUAGAGGGGGGUAGGAAGUUUCAGGUGUAGCGGUGAAAUAGCGUAGAGAUCUGAAGGAAUACCGGUGGCGAAGGCGGCCCCCUCGGACAGAUACUGACACUCAGAUGCGAAAGCGUGGGGAGCAAACAGGAUUAGAUACCCUGGUAG